rfam:Ixodes scapularis strain Wikel colony gcontig_1107728641376, whole genome shotgun sequence.
GCAGUCGUGGCCGAGUGGUUAAGGCGAUGGACCAGAAAUCCAUUGGGGUCUCCCCGCACAGGUUCGAAUUUUGUCGACUGCG